CACUGUCAGCACAGAGCCUGAUGUGGGGCUUCAACUCACAAACAGUGAGAUCACAAUCAGAGCCGAGAUCAAGAGUUGAUCUUCACUGACUGAGCUACCCAUGCGUCAAAAAUGUGAAUUUUUGAUGUAUGGGGGUGUGGGCUCCCCAACCCCUGUGUUGUUCAAGGGUCAGCUAUAUUACUUAAGGCUUUAUACCUGUCUUACCCCCACAUGAAAUAGGAAGGUGACUGAGACCAAAGUGGGUGUUUUUCCCUGUUCUAUGCAUUUUUGUGUGAUUCAUUUUCUUUGUUUUUAAGAUUGCAUAAUCCCUAUCUAAUGUGAGCAGAGGGGCUAGUUAGUGUUUGGCUUGAAUGAACCCAGAGUUUUUUUCCUGUAGAUGUUAAUGAUGAGAAUCAGAAUAGAGUAUCAUGUGACUGAUGGCCCAAUCAUAUCGAUUUUAAUGACUGGCUGUGGCAAGCAUGACUAAAUACAGCUGCAGACUCUGAGGCCAGGUCUAUACAAUGUAAAGUGUAGGCCUGGCAGGUCGCCAAGAACGUCAGGCUGCAAGGUUGGCCAAGCUGAAUAUAGGUCUUAGAACUGUUGGUGUUCGCAUUAAGAAGUUUAGUAGAGUGGUUAAGAGCGCAGGAUCCAGAAUUAGACUGUGUGGGUUCAUUUCUUCCCUUACCUACUUCCUUGUGUGAUAACCUUGGUCUUCCAGCUAGAUGUAUCUCUUUGUUUCUCAGUUUCCCCACAUUACGAUGAGGUUAGUAAUACAGUUACUGCACAGGGUUGUGGGGGAAUUAAGUAUCCUGUGCUUUGAACAGGGUCUGGCACACAGUAAGUGCUAAAUAAUUUCUAGCUACUGUUACUACAUUAGGAAGAUGUCUCAGAUGUGGGCUUUGUAGAGCAAAAAUUUGUGAAAGCAAUGCCAGUACAACUUUUGGUGACACAUAAAGAAUUUUGAACUUUUUGGUGACGCAUUAACUAUCCAUCAUCUGCUUGACGGAAUUAUUUUAAAGACUGCUGUCUAUAAAUACUCUCUAAGAGUAUUGUGAGUAUCAAAAAAUAUUCUAGAGAAGUUGAAGAUCUAGGUGUCAUUUAGUGAAGGGUAAGGACCUGAAGACAAUUUAGUUUGGUGACAAGAAAACCAAAGGAAAUUUACCAGGCUGGGCUUGGAAAUGGGUUUAUUAACAAUUAUAAUGAUAAAACUGUUUAUUGAGUGCUUACUCUAUCACAAGAACUUUAAUUCCACUUAAUUCUUUAAUUCUGCUUAAUUUUAAAAAUUAUUUGACUUCUCGCAACAUUUCAUAAAGUAUUGUCUCCAUUUUAUAUGUAACUAAAUAGGCUAAGAGAGGUAAUGUAGCUUCCUGAAGGUCGUUUAGUACCAGAAUCAGGAUUUGAACUCAGUUACGGUAAAUUGUAAAGCCAGUAUUUUUAACCACUAUGAUUUCUUUCUCUAUAUACACUGCUGUAUAUAAAUGAAAAUCAAUGGUGUGGUACUUAAAGCACUUUGAAAUCCCUAUGAGUUAAGCAUUCUUUAUGUCCCGAUUUUAUAGAUAAGUAAAUGGAGGCUUAAUAGAGUUGAUUGACUUUCCCAUGAUUAAUCUGUUACUGCAUAUCCCAUUUGUAAGCCUUCAAAUUUUCUAAUUUAUCCACAACCUUCUAGCACUAGAGAUUCUUGCCAAUUCCAUAUUUACCACUGACCCAGUGGGCUGAUGUUGGGAGAGAGAGACACCACAGAAACACCAAUGGAUGGCAGAGUGGCUAGACCAUAGCUCUGAGCCAUCCUUCCAAUGUGGAUAUGACCCCGCCAACCAGUAAGGUUUCUGGAGCUGCAUGGUCCAGGAAAAUUGCAUCCAUUCUGGAAUAAGCGUGAGACCUGAAUCUGCCACUUUUCCCUGAGCGAGUCGAACUUCUCUUGGUUUUGGUUUCAUCGUCCGUAAAUUGGGCAUGAUAAUACCAACUGUGCAAAGUUGAAGAUUAAAUAAAAUCAGGGGUUAAAACACUUUCUAAAUUGUAAAGUACUACAAAUACAGGUGUCUUAUGUGCUUUUC